CAUUCACAUUUUUAAAUUAAUAAUAGAAAAGGAAUUGAUCAGGGGACAAGAAUUGUUGAAAUCCAUAGAAACAAAUCACAAGUUGUUUUCAUAUUAAAUUUGGUUUAUUUGUCCCAUUAUGGAAUAUGUACAUAUAUGGACAUAUCUAAGCUAAUAAGUAAAUUUCAUCUUUAACGCCCAUCAAAAACUAAUCAACACCCAAUAACCGUAUGAGUACGUACACCUAUUAUGUCCCUUGAACCUUUUGUGUUUCUGUAAUUCUAAUUCAAAGCCAAACUCUGCAUCAAAAAUGCACAAAUACUUCGCUAACCGAGAAAUGCAGGGACAGCCUCCAAUGAAUGCCCCGUAACACCGAUUCUAAUUAGAAGUUGGCUUUUUGGCCAUAAGGCCAAUUCGAUUACCGCAUGAAUGUUUCCUUUUUUCCUGCUUUUGCUCUUGGUUUAAAUUGAAGAAAGAGCAGAUUUCUGAUAGGUUCUCAAUUGAAGUGGAAAAUUAAAGGAUACUGCAUAAUUAUUGUGGAUUUUCGAGCUUAAGGAAACCCAGAUUGGCAAAACAAUGCUUGUGAAAACAUUUAUCCACUGCACUCAAAUUUAAAGUAAGUCCCACAAAAAUAUGUUAAGCGACCUCGUUUUUCUGCUCCGCAUAAUUUAAUUAAAUCAAAGCCCAUGGGGGGAUAUGAAAAAAGGAAAAUAGGGAAAACUAUUUCCCCUAAAGAGAGAACAACACAACACACCGACUGACUUUUAAAAUCCGCUCAAAUUUAAUUAAAAAAAAUAUAACCCAGUCAGAGAAGUACAAAUAGACGCGCUCAAUCAAUUGGGCUACAGCCACAGACAAAUAAGCCCCGCAGUGGAACACCAUAUACAUAUAUAUGUUUUUUA